rnacentral:rRNA from 1 species
AUGUCGUUUUAUCGACGGGUGGCGGCCAUCAAGUCGGAUGCAGGAGUGAUCAUGGGCGCGCUCAUCAUGCAUGAGAUACGUGCUUGCGUAACCACGCAGAGGGACGACAUGCUACAGCUAGCAAGGCCAUGGUCGGAGUUCGCGCUUUCCGUUCCGAAAGAGUCCAGGCAGCUCUACCAGGCGGUGGCGAGAGCUAAUGUUGGGGAUGGCCGCAACACGUUAUUCUGGGAGGAUUGUUGGCUCAAUGGGUACCGUAUACAAGAGCUAGCGCCGCGGGCAUACGGCAUGGUGACACAACGGACGAGGAGAUCGAGAUCCGUGUUUGAAGCCAUAGUGCAGGGCAGAUGGGCUACGGACAUCGGACCCGCUAUCGACGCGGAAGGCCUUGCAGAAUACAUGAGCAUCUGGCCCGCGGUGGCGGCGAAAAAAGAUGGGACAAAAUGCUACAAGGUCGAUCGGAACUUGAUUAAAUCUCGGUCAACUGAGUUUUAG